CUUGGUGUGGAGGCUGGAACAGAUGCAAGGGAGGCAGCGAGGGUAGCGAGGAAGGAAAGUAAAGAGGGGAAAGAAUGGAGGAAAGGAGCUGGACGGGGAUGCAGAGAGGAAAAGAGAGAUAGGGGAAAAGAGAAGGAAGGUAAGAAGGAAAGUAGAAAGGAAAAAAUGGAGGAAGGAAGCUAGAAAGAGAUGCAGAGAGGAAAAGAGAGAUAGGGGAAAAGAGAAGGAAGGGAAGAAGGAAAGCAGAAAGGAAAAAAUGGAGGAAGGAAGCUAGAAAGGGAUGCGAAGAGGAAAAGAGAGAUAGGGGAAAAGAGAAGGAAGGUAAGAAGGAAAGUAGAAAGGAAAAUUGGAGGAAGGAAGCUAGAAAGGGAUGCGAAGAGGAAAAGAGAGAUAGGGGAAAAGAGAAGGAAGGGAAGAAGGGAAGUAGAAAGGAAAAUUGGAGGAAGGAAGCUAGAAAGGGAUGCGAAGAGGAAAAGAGAGAUAGGGGAAAAGAGAAGGAAGGGAAGAAGGAAAGUGGAAAGGAAAAUUGGAGGAAGGAAGCUAGAAAGGGAUGCGAAGAGGAAAAGAGAGAUAGGGGAAAAGAGAAGGAAGGUAAGAAGGAAAGUAGAAAGGAAAAAAUGGAGGAAGGAAGCUAGAAAGGGAUGCAGAGAGGAAAAGAGAGAUUGGGGAAAAGAGAAGGAAGGGAAGAAGGGAAGUAGAAAGG